GGGACAACAGUUGGAAACGACUGCUAAUACCGCAUAAGCCCACGACCCGGCAUCGGGUAGAGGGAAAAGGAGCAAUCCGCUUUGAGAUGGCCUCGCGUCCGAUUAGCUAGUUGGUGAGGUAACGGCCCACCAAGGCGACGAUCGGUAGCCGGACUGAGAGGUUGAACGGCCACAUUGGGACUGAGACACGGCCCAGACUCCUACGGGAGGCAGCAGUGGGGAAUAUUGCACAAUGGGGGAAACCCUGAUGCAGCGACGCCGCGUGGAGGAAGAAGGUCUUCGGAUUGUAAACUCCUGUUGUUGAGGAAGAUAAUGACGGUACUCAACAAGGAAGUGACGGCUAACUACGUGCCAGCAGCCGCGGUAAAACGUAGGUCACAAGCGUUGUCCGGAAUUACUGGGUGUAAAGGGAGCGCAGGCGGGAAGACAAGUUGGAAGUGAAAUCCAUGGGCUCAACCCAUGAACUGCUUUCAAAACUGUUUUUCUUGAGUAGUGCAGAGGUAGGCGGAAUUCCCGGUGUAGCGGUGGAAUGCGUAGAUAUCGGGAGGAACACCAGUGGCGAAGGCGGCCUACUGGGCACCAACUGACGCUGAGGCUCGAAAGUGUGGGUAGCAAACAGGAUUAGAUACCCUGGUAGUCCACACUGUAAACGAUGAAUAGUAGGUGUUGGAGGAUUGACCCCUUCAGUGCCGCAG
rnacentral:rRNA from 1 species